UACGAAGGGGCCUAGCGUUGUUCGGAAUCACUGGGCGUAAAGCGCACGUAGGCGGAUAUGUCAGUCAGGGGUGAAAUCCCGGGGCUCAACCUCUGAACUGCCUUUGAUACAGCAUGUCUUGAGUCCGAUAGAGGUGGGUGGAAUUCCUAGUGUAGAGGUGAAAUUCGUAGAUAUUAGGAAGAACACCGGUGGCGAAGGCGGCCCACUGGAUCGGUACUGACGCUGAGGUGCGAAAGCGUGGGGAGCAAACAGG
rnacentral:rRNA from 1 species